rnacentral:rRNA from 1 species
GGCUUACACAUGCAAGUCGAACGCGUGUAGCAAUACACGAGUGGCGCACGGGUGAGUAACACGUGGAUAUCUGCCUUUUGGUUCGGAAUAACCCUGGGAAACUAGGGCUAAUACCGAAUGGUUCCUACGGGAUAAAGAUUUAUCGCCAAAAGAUGAGUCCGCGUCCGAUUAGCUAGUUGGUGAGGUAAUGGCUCACCAAGGCGACGAUCGGUAGCUGGUCUGAGAGGACGAUCAGCCACACUGGGACUGAGACACGGCCCAGACUCCUACGGGAGGCAGCAGUGGGGAAUAUUGGACAAUGGGGGCAACCCUGAUCCAGCCAUGCCGCGUGAGUGAUGAAGGCCUUCGGGUUGUAAAGCUCUUUUGGCGGGGACGAUGAUGACGGUACCCGCAGAAUAAGCCCCGGCUAACUUCGUGCC